AAAGCAUACUGAAUAAGCCCGUUUAGAUCUCUAUGCUUGUUCUGCAUCGCGAGGAAUCUCCCCGACUGCCUUCACACUCUCCAAUCACAGGACUGGCCGUUACGGGCCCUGCACGAACUCGGGCUUGUUUAUUUCUCUCUCACGAAGAAUGUCGGAGACGACGGAGUACUAUCAGACAAGGUGCAAGCUAAAGUUUUGUACCACGUAUACCACGACGCAUCGUGAACAUGGGGCUGCGCGUUAAACGGAACUCGACUUUCCAAAGUUUCGCGGAGCGACACCAUGGCGGUCGCCAGUCGCGGCGACAGACCGGUGGCUGAGCAGUGCGCGAGCAACAAGUGAAGAGAAAGAAGAAGGAACUGUGAUGAACUUCGUGCCUGCUCGCAAGAGUUACGCCCUCUCGGUGGACACAUGUUCCCGCCAGAACUCUCCGCUAACUAACUUCCCGGCCCGCUGCUGUUCCGAAACACACACGCCAGUCCCCGCCAUCUUAGAUUUUAAAAUAUUUUUAUUUAUUUUUCUAUUUAGUUUUACUAUCCUAAAUGUUGUUGCGAUAUGGCUGAAUUAUUUCUUCCAACACUUUUAUAUAUAUAUUCUUACAAUCAUAUUUUACAACAGGUUUCAGUUAGUAACCACCAAAAUAAUAACCGACGUAAUAAUCACACCAGUCAACCAAUUUCGUCUUCAACCAGCUGAUUUCUACGCCGUGUCGAAAGAAAAAAUGGCUCAUGGAAGCUGUAUUGCAAACUGAGGCUUAAUUAAUACUUGAAAAAAAUUGAUGUUGAAGCAGCAAUUUCCCUAAAAAUAAAUGACCUGUUUGAAAAACAAAUCUUUAGAAGAUGACAAGAAAGAACUUUUACCUCACGA